rnacentral:tRNA from 1 species
GCGCGGGUGGCCCAGCAGCAACGGCGCUCGCCUGCAGAGCGAGUAUUCGAGGGUGCGAGUCCCUCCCCGCGCU